AGCAGCCGCGGUAAUUCCAGCUCCAAUAGCGUAUAUUAAAGUUGUUGCAGUUAAAAAGCUCGUAGUUGAAUUUCGGGAUCAAUAUGUCGGUCGUGCCUUCGGUACGUACUGGUAUCAUUGGUCUCUCCUUUCUGACGAACCAUGAUGUCAUUAAUUUGGUGUUAUGGGGAGUUAGGACUGUUACUUUGAAUAAAUUAGAGUGUUUAAAGCAGGCUUUAGCUUGAAUACAUUAGCAUGGAAUAAUGAAAUAGGACGUUCGAACCUAUUUUGUUGGUUUCUAGGAUCAACGUAAUGAUUAAUAGGGAUAGUUGGGGGCAUUAGUAUUCAAUUGUCAGAGGUGAAAUUCUUGGAUUUAUUGAAGACUAACUACUGCGAAAGCAUUUGCCAAGGAUGUUUUCAUUAAUCAAGAACGAAAGUUAGGGGAUCGAAGACGAUCAGAUACCGUCGUAG
rnacentral:rRNA from 1 species